UACAGAGGGUGCAAGCGUUGUUCGGAAUUACUGGGCGUAAAGCGCGUGUAGGCGGCUUGGCAAGUCCUGUGUGAAAGCCCUGGGCUCAACCCAGGAAGUGCGCAGGAUACUGCCAAGCUGGAGUAGCGGAGAGGAUGGCGGAAUACCCGGUGUAGAGGUGAAAUUCGUAGAUAUCGGGUGGAACACCUGUGGCGAAGGCGGCCAUCUGGACGUUCACUGACGCUGAGACGCGAAAGCGUGGGUAGCAAACAGG
rnacentral:rRNA from 1 species